rnacentral:rRNA from 1 species
UACAGAGGGUGCGAGCGUUAAUCGGAAUUACUGGGCGUAAAGCGCGCGUAGGCGGUUAUGUAAGUUGGAUGUGAAAUCCCCGGGCUUAACCUGGGCACUGCAUUCAAAACUGCAUAGCUAGAGUAUGGGAGAGGAAGGUAGAAUUCCAGGUGUAGCGGUGAAAUGCGUAGAGAUCUGGAGGAAUACCGAUGGCGAAGGCAGCCUUCUGGCCUAAUACUGACGCUGAGGUGCGAAAGCAUGGGGAGCAAACAGGAUUAGAAACCCCAGUAGUCC